rnacentral:rRNA from 1 species
GAUGAACGCUAGCGGGAGGCCUAACACAUGCAAGCCGAGUGGUAUUUGUUCUUCGGGACAGAGAGAGCGGCGUACGGGUGCGGAACACGUGUGCAACCUACCUUUAUCAGGGGGAUAGCCUUUCGAAAGGAAGAUUAAUACCCCAUAAUAUAUUGACUGGCAUCAGUUAGUAUUGAAAACUCCGGUGGAUAGAGAUGGGCACGCGCGAGAUUAGAUAGUUGGUAGGGUAACGGCCUACCAAGUCAGUGAUCUUUAGGGGGCCUGAGAGGGUGAUCCCCCACACUGGUACUGAGACACGGACCAGACUCCUACGGGAGGCAGCAGUGAGGAAUAUUGGACAAUGGGUGAAAGCCUGAUCCAGCCAUCCCGCGUGAAGGACGACGGUUCUAUGGAUUGUAAACUUCUUUUAUAUAGGGAUAAACCUCUUUACGUGUAAAGAGCUGAAGGUACUAUAUGAAUAAGCACCGGCUAACUCCGUGCCAGCAGCCGCGGUAAUACGGAGGGUGCAAGCGUUAUCCGGAUUUAUUGGGUUUAAAGGGUCCGUAGGCGGAUCUGUAAGUCAGUGGUGAAAUCUCAUAGCUUAACUAUGAAACUGCCAUUGAUACUGCAGGUCUUGAGUAAAGUAGAAGUGGCUGGAAUAAGUAGUGUAGCGGUGAAAUGCAUAGAUAUUACUUAGAACACCAAUUGCGAAGGCAGGUCACUAUGUUUUAACUGACGCUGAUGGACGAAAGCGUGGGGAGCGAACAGGAUUAGAUACCCUGGUAGUCCACGCCGUAAACGAUGCUAACUCGUUUUUGGGACUUCGGUUUCAGAGACUAAGCGAAAGUGAUAAGUUAGCCACCUGGGGAGUACGUUCGCAAGAAUGAAACUCAAAGGAAUUGACGGGGGCCCGCACAAGCGGUGGAUUAUGUGGUUUAAUUCGAUGAUACGCGAGGAACCUUACCAAGGCUUAAAUGGGAAUUGACAGGUUUAGAAAUAGACUUUUCUUCGGACAAUUUUCAAGGUGCUGCAUGGUUGUCGUCAGCUCGUGCCGUGAGGUGUUAGGUUAAGUCCUGCAACGAGCGCAACCCCUGUCACUAGUUGCCAUCAUUCAGUUGGGGACUCUAGUGAGACUGCCUACGCAAGUAGAGAGGAAGGUGGGGAUGACGUCAAAUCAUCACGGCCCUUACGCCUUGGGCCACACACGUAAUACAAUGGCCAGUACAGAGGGCAGCUACCUAGCGAUAGGAUGCGAAUCUCGAAAGCUGGUCUCAGUUCGGAUUGGAGUCUGCAACUCGACUCUAUGAAGCUGGAAUCGCUAGUAAUCGCGCAUCAGCCAUGGCGCGGUGAAUACGUUCCCGGGCCU